CUGCCCGUGGCGCAAUUGGAUAACGCAACGGAUUCCGAUUCCGGAGAAUGGGGGUUCAAAUCCCUUCGGGCAGACCA
rnacentral:tRNA from 1 species